rfam:Triticum aestivum genome assembly, contig: Triticum_aestivum_CS42_TGACv1_scaffold_001055_1AL
AUAGUACUUCCUCCGUCCGGAAAUACUUGUCGGGGAAAUGGAUGCACCUAGAAGUAUUUAAGUUUUUAGAUGCAUCCAUUUAUAUUCAUUUCUGUGGCAAGUAUUUCCGGGCGGAGGGAGUAGUAG